rnacentral:rRNA from 1 species
UGGCGGUAUGCUNAACACAUGCAAGUCGAACGAAAGUUUAUAACUUUAGUGGCGAACGGGUGCGUAAUACGUGAGAAUCUGCCCUUAGGAUGAGUAUAACUGCUGGAAACGGCUGCUAACACUCAAUAUGUCGAGAGAUGAAAUAAUUUAUUGCCUAAGGAUGAGCUCGCGCCUGAUUAGCUAGUUGGUGAGGUAAUGGCUCACCAAGGCCACGAUCAGUAGCUGGUUUGAGAGAACGAUCAGCCACACUGGGACUGAGACACGGCCCAGACUCCUCCGGGAGGCAGCAGUGAGGAAUUUUCCGCAAUGGGCGAAAGCCUGACGGAGCAAUACCGCGUGAGGGAUGACGGAUUUUGGUCUGUAAACCUCUUUUCUCAAGAAAGAAGUUCUGACGGUACUUGAGGAAUAAGCAUCGGCUAACUCCGUGCCAGCAGCCGCGGUAAUACGGGGGAUGCAAGCGUUAUCCGGAAUCAUUGGGCGUANAGCGCCUGUAGGUUGUUUAAUAAGUCUGUUGUAAAGACUAGGGCUUAACCCUAGAAAAGCAAUGGAAACUACUA